GACGAACCGUGCGAACGUUGUUCGGAAUCACUGGGCUUAAAGGGCGCGUAGGCGGGCAGUCAAGUCAGGGGUGAAAUCCCGCGGCUCAACCGCGGAAGGGCCUUUGAUACUGGCUGUCUCGAGGGAGGUAGGGGCGUGCGGAACUUCCGGUGGAGCGGUGAAAUGCGUAGAUAUCGGAAGGAACGCCGGUGGCGAAAGCGGCGCGCUGGACCUCUUCUGACGCUGAGGCGCGAAAGCCAGGGGAGCAAACGGG
rnacentral:rRNA from 1 species